GAGAAAAUAAAUAAUGUGGAAAUCCUCUUGACAUUUCGUUUACUGGAUCAGAAGUUACAAAAAAUUUCAACUCUUAAAAAUUAGAGAUUUUCUCUAAGGUAAUUAAAAAUUUAUGCUGGAUUUUAUCAUCGUGGAGCCUGCAUAUAAUUGUAAAGUACAGAAGCUAUAGGUAGAUUAUGAGAUGCUGUUUGUAAAUUAACUGAUAGUUCAGGAUUUGAAAAUAUAAGGAACUGUUGACAACAGAAACAAAGUUUGCAAGCUAUCUCAUAUUUGUCUGGGUAUGUUUAUUGUCUAACUAUUGCAGCAAUUUCUUUGUAUGUAUGUUCAGGUUCUUAGAAAAUGGCCGAUGCAGAGGAUAUUCAGCCCCUCGUCUGUGACAAUGGAACUGGAAUG
rnacentral:misc_RNA from 1 species